AGAGUUUGAUCAUGGCUCAGGAUGAACGCUGGCGGCGUGCUUAACACAUGCAAGUCGAACGAAGAUACUUAAAAUGAGAGCUUCGGCAGGAAUUUUAUUUAUCUUAGUGGCGGACGGGUGAGUAACGCGUAUCCAACCUGCCCACCACUUGGGGAUAACCUUGCGAAAGUAAGACUAAUACCCAAUGAUAUCUCUAGAAGACAUCUGAAAGAGAUUAAAGAUUUAUCGGUGAUGGAUGGGGAUGCGUCUGAUUAGCUUGUUGGCGGGGUAACGGCCCACCAAGGCAACGAUCAGUAGGGGUUCUGAGAGGAAGGUCCCCCACAUUGGAACUGAGACACGGUCCAAACUCCUACGGGAGGCAGCA
rnacentral:rRNA from 1 species